AUUGAACGCUGGCGGCAGGCUUAACACAUGCAAGUCGGGCGGAGAGAGGUAGCUUGCUACUGAUCUUAGCGGCGGACGGGUGAGUAAUGCUUAGGAAUCUGCCUAUUAGUGGGGGACAACAUUUCGAAAGGAACGCUAAUACCGCAUACGUCCUACGGGAGAAAGCAGGGGAUCUUCGGACCUUGCGCUAAUAGAUGAGCCUAAGUCGGAUUAGCUAGUUGGUGGGGUAAAGGCCUACCAAGGCGACGAUCUGUAGCGGGUCUGAGAGGAUGAUCCGCCACACUGGGACUGAGACACGGCCCAGACUCCUACGGGAGGCAGCAGUGGGGAAUAUUGGACAAUGGGCGGAAGCCUGAUCCAGCCAUGCCGCGUGUGUGAAGAAGGCCUUAUGGUUGUAAAGCACUUUAAGCGAGGAGGAGGCUACUUUAGUUAAUACCUAGAGAUAGUGGACGUUACUCGCAGAAUGAGCACCGGCUAACUCUGUGCCAGCCGCCGCCGUAAAAC
rnacentral:rRNA from 1 species